GUCCGAAGGGAGAAGAGGACGGAGCCGCUGAACGGAGCCGGAUUUACCGGCAGAUUAGUAACGGGCUGCUAGAGAGCGACUCGUUAGCUCUAGUAGCCUGGUUAGCUGUGUUAGCUCUAGUAGCCUGUUCAUCAGCCACCAGAGAGUCCUGAAGAGUACAAACUUAACGAGAAGCAGAAGGAUCAUCCUUGAUGUGUCUCCUGUCUGGAUGUACAGCCGACAUGUCAUUCAUAUUAUUAGGAACACCUGAGAAAUCUCAUGCAGCACAGUACUCACAGGAAAGGGCUGAUUCUAAUUUAUUAUUGGGCUGUUUGGUGCUAAACUGUACUCCAUCUAAAGUAUUCCUAAAUGGUGUUGAUGUGUAGCAGCAGUAGAAAUGUCAGUAGAAACUCUAGUAGAAACGUCAGCAGAAAGUCCAGUAGAAACGUCAGUAGAAACUCUAGUAGAAACUCUAGUAGAAACGUCAGUAGAAACUAGUAGAAACAUCAGUAGAAACUCUAGUAGAAACGUCAGUAGAAACUCUAGUAGAAACGUCAGUAGAAACUCUAGGAGAAACGUCAAUAGAAACUCUAGUAGAAACGUCAGUAGAAACUCUAGUAGAAACGUCAGUAGAAACUCUAGGAGAAACGUCAAUAGAAACUCUAGUAGAAACUCUAGUAGAAACGUCAAUAGAAACUCUAGUAGAAAUGUCAGUAGAAACUCCAGUAGAAACGUCAGUAGAAACUCUAGUAGAAACGUCAGUAGAAACUCUAGGAGAAACUAGUAGAAACUCUAGUAGAAACUCUAGUAGAAACUAUAGUAGAAACUUCAGCAGCAAUAAGAAAACCAGUCGAUAGUUUCACUAGAAGGUCCUGAAAGCUCAGAACGUCUCACUGCAAGAACAAACCUUGCAAACCUUUGUUCUGAUGUGUUGUUCUAGAGCAGAUUCAGUUUCUUCACCUGGUCCAAAGCAAAGACAUGAACCAAGUUUCAGCGUUACAGUCGUUAGAAAACGGUGCCAAUUUAUCGUUAUUUAUUCAGGUCGGUGGGUGGAGCAAAGAAAAUACGACAACUUGUUUGUUUACAUGAAGUCUGGAGGAUCCAGAUCUCUAAUAAAGUUUCUAUGAGGAGA